CCUUUUCAGCUGCGGAGUUUCUUAGGCUAGUGAAAUUGAUACGUGUGUCUUCACCUCUGAACUAUCAAUAUUAUGUUUCAAAUCUUUGAUUCGAUUCAUUCUUUUGCUUCAGAGUGCAGAUACACGCAUCUCUUUUCCUAGCUACCUAUUCUAAUGUUUUUCUUCCUCUUUGGGAGAUUUUCAACCAAACUUUGGAUCUAAUCAAGCCAACUCCAAAGGGAAAUCAUAACAUAUGUUUGGAGUUCAAUCUCAUGAGGCCUGAUUCUCGCUCCAUAUCAACCUUCUUUCAUCAAUCAAGUAAGGUAUAGGUCUAUGCAAUUUCUAAGGUUUAGAUCAUGUUAUCUAUACUUUUUACAGGGCAUACCAAUAGCUUAUAAGAUCAUAUGAUUAAAAAAGACAUAGGACAUAGGUCGUAUCGAAGAUUUUACCUUGGUUGGAACAAUCUUUGACGAAACUUUAAUUUCCUCCGACAAAUUUUUGGAUUACCAAGCCCUUUCUAUGUGAGCAGGAUGGUUGAGAAAAAACUCAUGACUUGGAAGAAACAAAGGAAGUAGAAUCCGAGUGAGGGCAAGGAGUGCACUGCUUUCUAAUGGAGUUAUUUUAUAUGUCCUUAACCUCCCAGAGUUUCAGAAUUUUGUAUUGCGGGCUCAAUCUUCACAAAUAAAAUGACGCAGAUGAUUAGAAGAUCAAUGAGGUCACAUGUGGUUUACUGCAGGGCUGACGGAAUCAGUGGUACCAAUGCAUAGAUGGGCAACACCGAUGAUGGGGGAGCUUAAAUGUAAUGUGGAUACAGCUACUUUUAAUGGUAACAAUUGUUUAAGUGCACGGAUGUGUGUGCAAGAUGAUAGAGGCAAGUUUAUUUGUGCUCAAACCUCAUGGAAUGUCGGUAAACCGAGCCCUCAGUAAGCGGAAGCAUAGGGUCUAAAGCAAGCUCUGUGUUCUUAUGAAUUUAGGCUUCUGCAAAGUGUUUAUUGAACUAGAUUC
rnacentral:lncRNA from 1 species